rnacentral:rRNA from 1 species
GACGAACGCUGGCGGCGUGGAUUAGGCAUGCAAGUCGAACGGUAUCAUCCUUUCGGGGGUGAGAGAGUGGCGAACUGGUGAGUAACACGUAGGUUAUCUACCCUCAAGACGGGGACAACCCAGGGAAACUUGGGCUAAUACCGGAUGUGAGCAACUUUUAGUUGUUGAAAGGUGGCGUAAGCUGUCGCUUGGGGAUGAGCCUGCGUCCUAUUAGUUAGUUGGUGAGGUAACGGCUCACCUAGGCAAUGAUAGGUAGGCGGCCUUAACGGGUGGUCGCCCACACUGGGAUUGAGAUACGGCCCAGACUCCUACGGGAGGCAGCAGUCGAGAAUAGUCUACAAUGGUCGGAAGACUGAUAGUGCGACGCCGCGUGAACGAUGAAUCCCUUCGGGGUGUAAAGUUCUUUUAUAUGUGAGCAGUGCUUCUUAUAUUAACAGUAUGGGGAGAGAGAUAUUAGCAUAUGAAUAAGCAACGGCUAACUCCGUGCCAGCAGCCGCGUAAU